rnacentral:lncRNA from 1 species
CAUUUUUGUAGCUUAGAGACCACGGAAAAUAAACAAGAGAGCGUCAGGCCUGUUUGCGGCGUUUGUACGAUGACUGGAACUGUGUACGGUGCCCGAAACCCCGCCGUUGCCGGCUGCGAUAAAGGCGAUUACGAUGAACAAAUCCGACGUAUUCAGGCACAUCUUCGGGAUAGGUUUGAACAUCAGUGGCUUAAAGGAACAAAAAAGUAAUGGAACCAGUUCUGAGCCCAGUUUUUCAUCUCUGGAGAGGAAAAGCUCUUUGUCAAGAGAUGAAAAUCAAAGAGGAAUAUCUACAAUAAAAUCUAAAGCUUUUUGGGGUGAGUCUGAUGACAGCAAUUCUGAUAUUGAAGCAGCCCUACGCCCUCAGGAACAGUGUUCACAAGAAGAUGGAUUCAGUGAUUUCUAUGACUAACUUGAUACCCAUUUACAAACGAAUGAUAAAAAGCCAGUAGCAAUUUUUCAGGAUGAAAGUGGUUUCAGAAAAGGUCAAUCUGGAUUGGAUAUCCUGGUGGCAUUUUUAUGUACCUUACCAUAGCCACUUCUUCACACCAAAUUAUCCUGUCAGCCCACUUUCAACCAAUAUGUUUAUGAAUGAUUGUAACAUUCUUCUUGAAAACCAAGGUAAGACCACCAAAACUGCAACAGUCUAAGAUUUAUACCUGGAUUUGAAACACAUUUGAAAUUUGAAGUACACAGAAGCAAGGGGGAGAGUAAUUUUGGAGCUGGAAAAUUGUAGGCCUUUAAUUUAUAUAUUCCCUCCUAUACCUGUUCCUUGAUCCAAGUUGCUUGGUUGAAAAGUUUGUUCUUAUGCUUGAAUGGCCAUCAGACUAAUGAAUUCAGUUCAAGACAAAGCAACUAUGAUGUUUAUUAAUGCUAUUAUGAAUUUUGCAUUAAAUAAAAAGCAACUGAUUGGACUGGGACCUUGUUUGUAUUUGUAGCUUUAACCAUCCACUACUGUUUACAUGAGGAAGGAAGCUUUUAGUUAUGAAAAUAGUUGCAAAAAAAAGCAAAGCAUGAUUAAGAGGGCCAGGGCAGAGCGUCACAAAAUGAACGAUUGUAUGAACAAUGGCAUUUCAGGCUUAGCUCUAUAGCUGUUUUUUAGAAGUAAAGCAUAUUAUUUCAAAAAUCAGAUUUGUAAAUGUAUCUUACCUUUAGUUUAUCAUAAAUGAUGCGAGAUAUUAUAUUUGUUUUUUUAUAUCCCCAAUAAAAUGUACCUGAAAACUUGGAAGAAACU